UCAGAUUGGUUUUAUAUGAAUUUAUGACAAUGAUAGUUAAUCUGGGAACGACUCUGUUUAUACAUCUUGGAUAUUAAUCUUUUAAGAUUUUAGUAUUUAUGAUUUCUUCCAUAAAAUAAAAGUGAUUAUAACAAGUGGCUUAGUUUGAACUAAAAAUAGUUUUUCAUAAUCAACCGAUACAUCAAAUCAAGAUUUGAUCAUUUAUAUCAUAUGUGUGUGUAUAUAUACAUACAAAGUUCUUAAUGAACAUAUACAUCAUCAUUUGAACAAAAACAAAAAGAUGAGUAUUAAGAAGUGGAGUGUAUUGAUAAUGGUUGUAGCAAUAAUAACUGCAAUCAUGGAAGGGGAAGUACAAGGAUUAUCAUGUGAGACCAAGUGCAUGCUCAAGUGCGGUGGAAUCUGGUAUUUUGCAAGACCAUGCAUUAACAAAUGUGUAUUCGAUGAAUGCUACAUACCUAAGCCCCCAUCUCAAUCACCACAGUAAUAAGCUUUUUAUUUAUUAUAUUUGCUUGCUUUUUCGUCUGUGUUUGUAUUAAUGUUAAUUAAACUCUUAUGUUUGUAUCUAAAAGAUAUUUAUAUCAUCAUUUCUUAAAUUCAUCGUAAUCGCAAAACGCUAGUUUGAGUUAUGGCACAUAUCUUUUAAUAAAUAAAAAUGUAUGUUUUGAAAAAUAAAAACAAUGUUUCAACAACGAAAUACAUUUUUGUUUUUCAUUUAAAACAACCAUACUUUAUGAUACUUAUAUACAUGUCUUAUUGUCUUUUAUUGUCACGAGUAGAACUUAGACAUGACUUUAUUGGUAUAUUGCAGGACGGAGGCUAUAGAAAUGAAGAACAUUAGAAGGCAAAAACAUUAAUAUAUAAAUAUAUCUCAUAUACAUGUAAUAUAUAAUUAAAGUGAUCAUUUAAAUAAAAUUACUAAAUUUUGACAUAAAGGUAAAAGGGUUUAUAACUUUGUGACCAAACAAUUCAAUCAAAUAAAUAGAAUGGGGUACGUAAUAUGUAAGGG
rnacentral:lncRNA from 1 species